rnacentral:rRNA from 1 species
AGUGAACGCUGGCGGUAGGCCUAACACAUGCAAGUCGAACGGCAGCACAGUAAGAGCUUGCUCUUACGGGUGGCGAGUGGCGGACGGGUGAGGAAUACAUCGGAAUCUACUUUUUCGUGGGGGAUAACGUAGGGAAACUUACGCUAAUACCGCAUACGACCUACGGGUGAAAGCAGGGGAUCUUCGGACCUUGCGCGAUUGAAUGAGCCGAUGUCGGAUUAGCUAGUUGGCGGGGUAAAGGCCCACCAAGGCGACGAUCCGUAGCUGGUCUGAGAGGAUGAUCAGCCACACUGGAACUGAGACACGGUCCAGAAUCCUACGGGAGGCAGCAGUGGGGAAUAUUGGACAAUGGGCGCAAGCCUGACCCAGCCAUACCGCGUGGGUGAAGAAGGCCUUCGGGUUGUAAAGCCCUUUUGUUGGGAAAGAAAAGCAGCAGGUUAAUACCCCGCUGUUCUGACGGUACCCAAAGAAUAAGCACCGGCUAACUUCGU